GAUGAACGCUGGCGGCGUGCUUAACACAUGCAAGUCGAACGAUGAACCCGGAGCUUGCUCCGGCGGAUUAGUGGCGAACGGGUGAGUAACACGUGAGUAACCUGCCCCGAACUCUGGGAUAAGCGUUGGAAACGACGUCUAAUACCGGAUACGACGCGCGAAGGCAUCUUCUGCGCGUGGAAAGAAUUUCGGUUCGGGAUGGACUCGCGGCCUAUCAGCUAGUUGGUGAGGUAACGGCCCACCAAGGCGACGACGGGUACGGGGUAUGAGAGUAUGCCCCCGCUCACUGGGACUGAGACACUGCCCAGACACCUACGGGUGGCUGCAGUCGAGGAUCUUCGGCAAUGGGCGCAAGCCUGACCGAGCGACGCCGCGUGUGGGAUGAAGGCCUUCGGGUUGUAAACCACUGUCAGUGGGGAGGAAAUACUAUGGGGUUCUCCUCGUAGUUUGACCUAUCCGCAGAGGAAGUACGGGCUAAGUUCGUGCCAGCCGCCGCGGUAAUAC
rnacentral:rRNA from 1 species